rnacentral:lncRNA from 1 species
GUUGUCGUUUCCACUGUUGUUUAUUAUUCCCAUUGUUUAUCAUUCCCGUUGCUGUUGCUGUUCAUUCCCAUUGUUGUUUGUUCAUUCCCAUUCCUAUUGUUGUUUGUUCCCACUGUUGUUGCUGAUUCCCAUUGUUGCCGUUUCUCUUUCCCGCUGUUGUUUAUCAUUCCUGCUGUUGUUGUUUCUCAUUCUCACUGUUGUUGUUUAUCAGUCCCGCUGUUGUUUAUCAUUCCCGUUAUUUAUCAUUCCUGCUGUUGUAUAUCAUUCCCAUUCCCGCUGUUGUUUAUCAUUCCCGCCGUUGUUCAUCAUUCCUGUUGUUGCUCAUUCCUGCUGUUGCUGUUGUUCAUUCCUGCUGUUGUUGUUCAUUCCCGCUGUUGUUGUUCAUUCCCGCUGUUGGUUAUCAUUCCCUCUGUUGUUGUUUAUCAUUCCCGCCGUUGUUUAUCAUUCUCACUGUUGCCAUUUCUCAUUCUCAUUGUUGUUGUUAAUUCCUGCUGUUGUUUAUCAUUCCCGUUGUUGUUGUUUACCAUUCCCAUUGUUGUUCAUUCUCGUUGUUGUCGUUUGUCAUUCCCGCUGUUGUUUAUCAUUCCCGCUGUUGUUGUCAUUCCCAUUGUUGCCGUUUCUCAUUCCUGCUGUUGUUUACCAUUCCCACUGUUGUUUAUCAUUCCCGCCGUUGUUUAUCAUUCCUGCUGUUGCCGUUUCUCAUUCCCAUUGUUGUUGUUAAUUCCUGCUGUUGUUUAUCAUUCCCCCUGUUGUUUAUCAUUCCAGUUGUUGCCUUUUUUCAUUCCCAUUGUUGUUGUUAAUUCCUGCUGUUGUUUAUCAUUCCCGUUGUUGUUGUUUACCAUUCCCAUUGUUGUUCAUUCUCGUUGUUGGUGUUUAUCAUUCCCGCUGUUGUUUCUCAUUCCCACUGUUGUUUAUCAUUCCCACUGUUGUUUAUCAUUCCCACUGUUGUUUAUCAUUCCCACUGUUGCCGUUUCUCAUUCCCGCUGUUUUUAUCACUCCCGCUGUUGCCAUUUCUCAUUCCCAUUGUUGUUGUUAAUUCCUGCUGUUGUUUAUCAUUCCCACUGUUGUUGUUUCUCAUUCCUGCUGUUGUUUAUGAUUCCCACUGUUGUUUAUCACUCCCACUGUUGUUUAUCAUUCCCGCUGCUGUUUAUCAUUCCCAUUGUUAUUUAUAAUUCUGUUGUUUAUCAUUCCCACUGUUAUUUAUAAUUCCCACUGUUGUUUAUCAUUUCCAUUCCUGUUGUUUCUCAUUCCCGUUGUUGUUCAUUCCCGCUGUUGUUUAUCCUUCCUGUUGUUGUUCAUUCUCGUUGUUGCUGUUUAUCAUUCCCGCUGUUGUUUAUCUUUCCCGCCGUUGUUUAUCAUUCCCAUUCCCGUUGUUUCUCAUUCCGGUUUCCAUUGCCGUUGUUUAUCGGGGGUUCCAGGUCGGAGCUGAACGAGCACCUGGACACGAUCGACUCGAGCCUGGACAAUCUGCAGGCGCUGCUGAGCACGCACGGCUUCAGCAUGGACAGCGCCCUGCUCG